GGUCGGCUUAGAGCAAUUAAACCCACUCAUUGUGAGCACCUAACUGGAGGAAUCUAAUUACAACCUACCGCCAAGCCAAGCCCAGCCCAUCCUACACAGUCUGGAGUCUGGAGUCUAGACCUCACAUUGCCUUCCACGAAAGAGUUCCUCAGAAGCUCCAGGACAACAUCAGUAGCAGCAGCAGCAGCCUCGUCUGACCCAGCUGGAUCAUUCUUUGCCGGCUGCAGCCUGGUGCAUUUUUUCUUUGCAGGAGACAGGAGCCUCACUGAGAGCUCCACACACCGGUUCCCAAGCUGUCUCUUCGGCUUCUUCCCGCGAUUAUUAUGGACAAUGACGAGGACGAUGAUGGGAACUUCACCAAGUGGAUGAGCAGUUACUGGGGGCAUGGGGCUGGGGAGGAGCACGCCAAAGAUAGGAAGAGGAGUUUUAGGAGGCCCUCGCGCAACAAAGCUGACCGCCGUGCCUCUUUGCCCUGCAUGUCUCAGCUGGAAGCCAUGCAGGUGAAUCAUCUCCAUGCUAACAGCAUGGCCCCUGUCCCUGUCCACCUAAAGGGUCGUGAGGAGAAGGAAGUGCACUCUCAUCCUCGUGCCCGCCGUGUGUCUUCAGAUGAAAACAGCCGAACCAAAGUGGGGGGACCUGAAUGUCACAUCAGCACCAUUCCAGAGCUCACUGAAUACUUAGAGAAGAGGCUGCGUUUCAAUAACAAGAAGGUGAUAUCAGUGGGUGAUGCAGAUAGCGUAUGUCUUAUUUGCCAUGAAGAACUACGGAAUGGAAGGGGUGGCAUCCAAGAACUUCACUGUGGUCAUCAUUUUCAUAAAGAGGCAAAAUGGCCAGAGCACGGCGCACGUCCACGUAGUGGGAGUUCUGCACCUGCUUGUGAGCGAGGAAAAGAGAUACCGUUCUGCCCCGAACAGGAGGAAUAUCGAUUACCCCGUCGCCAACUCUCUUUACGUAGACAACGUUGAUUGUUUUCAGUUUAACAUACACUCUAAAAAAUAAAGGUUCUUUAUUGGCAUCAAUGGUUCCAUGCAGAACUUUUGUGACCCUGAAACAUUUUUCGAAGCCAAAUAAAUAAGCUUUCCAUUUAUGUAUGGUUUGUUAGGAUCAGACAAUAUUUGGUCAAGAUACAACUAUAUGAAAAUCUGAGGGUGCAAAAAAAUCAAAAUAUUGAGAAAAUCGCCUUUAAAGUUGUCCAAAUGAAGUUCUUAGCAAUGCAUAUUGCUAAUCAAAAAUUAAGUUUUGAUAUAUUCACAGUAGGAAAUUUACUAAAUAUCUUCAUGGAACAUGAUCUUAACUUAAUAUCCUAAUGAUUUUUGGCAUAAAAUCAAUCAUUUUGACCCAUACAAUGUAUUGUUGGCUAUUGCUACAAAUAUACCCCAGCGAUUUAAGACUGGUUUUGUGGUCCAGGGUCACAUUUUAAAAAAGUAACUUUUAUUUUUUUAAGUGUACUGUAUGUAUGAAUAGUAGUUAAACUAAACAGUAAUCACUCAGUAUAUUAUCAAAAUAUUUGUUAAUUGUCAGUUUUAAUUUGUGUUUAGCUCCACACACAAAAUUAACCUGCCGAUCUCUUGUUUGCAGGCAAGUUUAGUCUUUUUCCCCCUUUUGAAAUCAGAAAAGCAAAGAACAACAACAAUUUUUAUUUAUCUUCCCAUUCCAAGUCAUUUACAUUUUAUAAAUACUGCUGUUUCAAAUGCCAUGUUUUAGUACUUUUUGUGCUUUUCCUAUGGUAAUAAUUAUAGGAACCAAAAUGUGAUUAUUAUAGUAAAUAUGUAUUAGUAAACUGUUAAUCAAAUUUAGUUUUUCAGAGUUAAUGUGCAUUGAUCUGAUAAAAUGUUGUUAUUAUUCAUGAUCCUGUUGAUCAUUUUAUACAGCUAUUUUGGAUUAGAAAACCAAACUGUGAAUAUAAGAUGUUUUGGCUUAUUUUGGAUUUAGAAUUAUGGAUGCUGAAACUGUAAAUAUGGAAAAAUCCUGAAUUUGCAGGUCAUAUGUCAGGAGUUGCAGUUAUGAAGCUACAGAUGUUAAAUGCACAUGCUGGAAAUUAGCUGGUGGCUAAUCACGCCACUGUAAUGGAAAUCAAUGUGCAUUGAGAAAUGGCUUUGGCAGAAACAAUCAUGUCCCACCUGUCGUGUUCAUGUGACCAUGCCUGAACCCCUCUACUGGUCCUCUGCUCGUGUCCAGUUUCCCUGAAAAUGUCCAUUUUCCAUCACUGCAUGAUCAUUUCCAUGUCUGCUUUUAGCCCGUGACCACUGAUUUAAUGUGUUUAUAUGUAAAUAACAACAACAACAACAACAAAACAUCAUCUCUAGGUGGAGGCGAGUGUGUGUGUGAAUGUGGUGUUUUGCUUGUACACACUUCCUAGAAUAAGACCGUUAUGGAUGUGCAUCUUUAUAUGAAUCUGAAGACCUUCAGCUUUAUUUGUUCCUGACCCUCCUUUUCCAUCUUUCUUGCUUAUUUUCCUCUGUGGAGUGAUGAGGACAGGAUGUUUGGCUAGGCUGAAAACCGUGCAUGCUAAGUGUCUGACCACAGAGCCUUUUUGUUUUCUCCGUCCAUCUCUCUGCUCUUAUGUAUUGCACAAUGCACAUCUGAAUUACCCAUUAACAUACACAUGCCAAAUUCAAAGGCAGAGAAUUUUAGACUCUGUCCAACGUGAUGUUUCAGAAAAGUAAAUAUACGUUUUAAAGAUGUAGAAUAUUUUGUUUGUACUAAAAUGUACUUAAAUACUUUUAAUUAAAUAUCAACAUAUUAAGAAAUGCCUACAUUGCUGUAAAGUUUUUAUACAGUGUCUUUAUUUUGAAAGUGGGUUGUUGUGUUUCAUAUGUAGCCUACUUUGUUUUUACAAAAUUCAUUGAAUUCAUAGG